rnacentral:misc_RNA from 1 species
AACAAGUUGUCAUGGUGCUUGAUACUGGAAGUGAACUUUCUUGGGUUCAUUGUAAAAAAACCCCAACAACACCUUUAAUUUUUAACCCUCUUGUUUCUUCUUCAUACUCUGCUAUCCCCUGUUCUUCACCGACAUGCACGGUGAAAACCCGGGAUUUUUCCAUACCCGUUUCAUGUGACCCGAAAAAACUCUGCCAUGCUACGCUAUCCUACGCUGACAGUUCUUCUGUUGAAGGUAAUUUAGCUACGGAAACUUUUCGUAUCGAUAAUUUGAAUUUACCCGGUGUUGUAUUCGGGUGCAUGGAUAU